rnacentral:rRNA from 1 species
UACGUAGGGGGCAAGCGUUGUCCGGAAUUAUUGGGCGUAAAGCGCGCGCAGGCGGUCAUUUAAGUUUGGUGUUUAAUCCCGGGGGCUCAACCCCGGGUCGCACUGAAAACUGGGUGACUUGAGUACAGAAGAGGAGAGUGGAAUUCCGCGUGUAGCGGUGAAAUGCGUAGAUAUGUGGAGGAACACCAGUGGCGAAGGCGACUCUCUGGGCUGUAACUGACGCUGAGGAGCGAAAGCGUGGGGAGCGAACAGG